AUGCUCUAUGAGGUGGAGAGAGCAGAUAUGAGGAACCUGAUGAGGGAGCUCACGUUGCUGGUGUCACUGUCUGGCACAGGUUCAGGGCAAGUGCUGAAGCCUGGAUGUGUGCUGGGAAACAGGCUGCUGCACAGUCCCCUGGCAUCUUGGGAUGGGGUCAGACCACACCCCACCUGCUUCGUCCCACCCCACCCUGCUCCACCCGACAGAGUGAGCACCUGUGCCCGCCGCAACUGCCUGCAAGAAUUCAAGUCCGGGACCAACGCUGAGCAGAGAUCAGUUCAACUGUAUCACUGCGAGUUCGUGACCUGCUGUCAAAGUGGAGCUUCUUUGCAAAUGUCUUUGCAAAUGUUUUUCUCCUCCUCUGAGCCCUGGGUCCUAAACCCUCAUAGCUCCUUUCUUCCAACUGGCCAAGUUGGACUAGCGAACCUCCAAAGGAUGGGUAUGACUAAACACGCGCCAUGCCUGCAACUGUUGAAGCCAGUGAAUAAAAUGGGUUCAAUUGCUCUGGCUAAGGACAGGGUGGAAAUUUGGGGCGGGGUGAGGAAUGUGAAAAUGAACAAGAUAAUUAUUUUAGUGUCUUUUAUAGAUCGCAUGUCACUCUGUUAGCUUAGGAGCAUUAAAAAUGUAUAACGUAGGGCUUGUUCUGCUCAUAAAAUGAUCCUCUUUGGCAUAUUAAAAUUUAAAGUAUAGUUUAUUCACGCACUAAUUACACUUUUACUAAUUGAAUUUACCUUUAAAUAUUUCAAAGUUUUGUAAUAAAUCGAGCUACAAGAUACUGAGCCUCA
rnacentral:lncRNA from 12 species